UACGUAGGGGGCAAGCGUUGUCCGGAUUUAUUGGGCGUAAAGAGCGUGUAGGCGGUUUGGUAGGUCCGCUGUGAAAACUCGAGGCUCAACCUCGAGACGCCGGUGGAAACCAUCAGACUAGAGUCAGGAAGAGGAGAGUGGAAUUCCUGGUGUAGCGGUGAAAUGCGCAGAUAUCAGGAAGAACACCCGUGGCUAAGGCGGCUCUCUAGUACGGUACUGACGCUGAGACGCGAAAGCGUGGGGAGCGAACAGG
rnacentral:rRNA from 1 species